AGGCAAGGUUUUAUGAUAUCCUGACUCUUACUGCUCAAUGUCAAAAAGUCAAGGCAGCAGAAAUGACUCUGAGUUGCCAAGAGUCAUUUUCCCCUCAGGCCAAGGAAGGGAACAGGUCCAUCAUGUGUUGUCUAAUGGCUGUGCAGGUCUGUUCAUUACACCAGGAAGGUCAGUACUACAGUGCUGCCUUCGGUUCUGGAGUCUCCUAUCUGGAAAGGAUGGGAUGGAUCACAAACUACAAUCCUAGAAGAGAGCUUGGCUGAAGUCAGCUGUAUUACAACAGGUCUGGAUUUCACUCAUGGGGAACAUAGCUUUUCCUUUACACUGAACAAUCAAAUUUGCCAAGCUUGUCUCUGGCAGCCAGACUUGACCAAGUGCAGUUGCUGCAGUACAGAAAGAAACAGUCCGAACUCAGCAUUUAUGGCUGUGCAGAGAUCCAGAGACUGUCACAAGGAGAUGAGGAGGAGCCCCCUUUCACCAUUUUGUUCAUCUCCCUCCCCUCAGCCAGCAAGUGGCUAAUUCUGUCCCCAGAGUUGUCCACAAUUCUCCACUGUAAACAUCAAGAAUGAUAGACCAUCCCUAUCUCUUUGUGCUGACUAUAUGAAAUUUUAUGGACCAUCAAUGCUCUUAAGAGCACUCUGGAAAUGGAAUAGUAUCAUCAUUCAACUCCUUGCAGGACCAGUUGUGAGAACAGUUUUGAGCAAAACUGGAUGAAGCAGUAGUUUUAGUCUUAGUUUAGGUUUCUGGGGGCUAUGCAGCAGUCUUGCAGACAUUCAUGACUCUUCACAGAAUAGAGGAAAAAAUAUAGAUGAUGAUAACGAUUAAUAAUAAUAAACUAAUAAUAAUUAUAUAGUCAAAAUAUUAAACAGGUUGCUUUUAUUUCUCUGUGAAAAUUAAAAUGUUGACCUUUCCUUUAGUCUGAUUUUGUAAAAGCCAACUUUAUUUGAUUCAAUAAAGUGACUAAACAGUAAGUAGAGGAUGGUAACUGUACACUAAAGUGGGAGGAAAAAUCAAAUGUCAGAUAAGAAUUACCUGAGCAAAAGAAUGUAAGACCAUCUUUUAAGUCAUGGAAGGAGUCAAAGUAAGGUUGCCAAGGAAACCUUAACUUUGCUUUUCCUACGUUGUUUUUUUUUUUUUUUUUAAUUAUGAACUUAGCCUCCUCAUUGUGCCAAAAUUAAUGGGAAUUUUGAGUCCUAUCAAUUAGUCUGUGGGUUUUGUCUUUCUUCUUUGUCUCUGUUCAUUUGUCAUAUGAUAUAUUAGAAUCUGAACAUACCUUUCUGAACAUCAUUUAUGCUAUGUACAGGGAAAAUGAUAAGGUUAAAGAAAAAAGACCUCUCAACAGUCAUUUAAGGAAAGAGAGGCCCAUAAAAAAUGGAAGCACGGUGGCCUGUCUGUAUGGCUUUGAAUAACACCCUUCCCGAGAUAAAACCGUAUUGAUUGGACUGAUUCUAGAUAACUGGCUUUGCAGCACCAUCUGCAUUCUGUGACAAUCUAUGAUUCUAAUUAUUUGGAAUUGUUAUUCAGUCUGAUAAAUUGUAUGAAGGAUUUUGUUUUCCAUCAAGUCAUUCUUCAUUCAGCACUGAUAGCAUCAUAAUUAAGUAGCAGUUGCUGGCUCUGAAUGUGGAUAAUUCAUAGGAAUUAUUUCUAAUAAACAAACAACAUAGAAUGUAUCAAAAACCAUCCUUAAAACAUAAUCUCUUGCUCUGUGUACUGGAUCUAUUCCCUCUGAUACAACCUAAUCAGACAAAAAGCAGGGGAGGUAUUUGCACAUUUCGGCUUUCCUGUUCUGUGAGCUUUGUUAGGAAGUGU